CAGCAAGUAAUGAGGGACCCAUCUGUAGUGUGUGACAAGUCAGGAAUUUGGGUUGGAUGUGAAGUGUGCUCAGACAGCUGAAGCAUUUAAGGUGAUCACUCGCUGGCUGAAAAUAAAAUCAUCUUCAUGAACUUUUAAAAGAUGAAAACUUCAAUCAUUCUUGGUGUACUGCAUAUGCUGUUCGGAGUUCUUCUGAGUCUUUGGAAUCACUUGUGAGGUUUCACAGCAGGCCCUGCGUGUGCUCCAUCAAUGUUAAUCACUUUCAUCAAUAUGGUAUUGUUCAAAGGUAGUGUUCCUCCCAAAGGUUGUGAUGAGUUCAUGUAUAGUGGACAGAAAGGCUUGCAGAGGUUCUUUGUUGUUCUUCCUCUACUGUGUGUUGCUUGGAUGCUUCUUGCAAAACCCAUUGUUUUGAUAAUGAGGCACUGCAAAGCCCACCAAACGCUUUCAAGCCAUCUCGUACCUGCAGAGAACGGCAUGGAUGCGGAGGUGGGAUCGAUGUCAGGGACAGCACACAAGGACAGUGCAGAUGGGGCUCCCGCACCACGGAGCAGUGAAGACCACAACCUUGGAGAAAUCUUCAUCCAUCAGGGCAUCCACACGAUAGAUUAUGUGCUAGGCUCUGUCUCUCACACUGCCUCUUAUCUGUGACUUUGGGCACUGUCACUGGCGCACGUCCAGGUGUCUGAGGUGCUGUGGAGUAUGGUGAUGAAGAAUGGACUGGUAGUGGAGGGCUGGACUGGAGGCUUUGCCCUAUGGCUGGUAUUUUCUUUCUGGGCAGUGCUUACCAUGGGCAUCUUGGUGCUUAUGGAGGGACUAUCUGCAUUCCUCCACACAUUGCGGCUUCACUGAUGAGUGCCCUGUCAAUAGAGUAAAUGUUCUACAAACGUUUAGUUAGUAGCCAUGGCUAUACAGCACAAGCGUAAAUUGGUCAUAAGCAGUUGUAAAGUGUCAGCAUGAGUAUUGAAUUUUUGAAACAAUUG